CUUUUCUAGGCCUUACCCAGAUCUGUGAGAGAUUAACUGAGAGUCUGACACCUUUAAGAUCUGAAGAGAGAUUUGCCAUUUGUUCCCUCUGAGGGCUGCUGCCUGCUCACCUGCAGAUGAGGCUUCAUCCACAGGAGGAUACACAGAGAAUUUGAAAAACCAAAGCAACAUAAAAGGAAGGGUGAGGUUAAAGAUAGGAAGACAAAUACACUUUUAAGUGUGAAAUAUACUUCAUGUCCUUCAACGAUGGGAACUUUUCUUGAAACAGGUUAAUCGGAUAUCCUGUGGUGUUGGGUAUUACUGUUCACAAGAACAGCUUUGUCCUUAAAAGGAUAUGACUUGUUUCCUUGAUAUUUUCUUUCUGCCUUCAUCAUGUAUUUCUGUGUAGCUUGCCAACAGUAAAUAUUGUCUUUGUUGUAACAAAAAUAAUGUCUACACAUAUACGUCAGUGGAGGAACCAAUGUAGUUAUAUUUAGCUCUUUCUUUGCAUAACAAAUAGGAUAGAUUUAAAUCUUAAAGAAUAUAAAGUGAUACAUAUAUUAUCAAAAUAUAUUUUAGUACAAGAACAAAACAGUUGAUAUAUUUUUCCAUAAA
rnacentral:lncRNA from 1 species